UAAUGCACUGUUAGUGGAAACCAACCGGCAAGCAUUGCUAAAGGCAAGAAUCCGACAUACGUUGAAGCAUGAUCGUAAGGACAUGUGGAGCGCUUAGAAGUGAGAAUGCCGGUGUGAGUAGCGAAAGACGUGUGAGAAUCCCGUCCACCGAUUGACUAAGUUUUCCAGAGGAAGGCUCGUCCGCUCUGGGUUAUUCGGGUACUAAUCUGAGGCCGACAGGCGUAGGCGAUG
rnacentral:rRNA from 1 species